AGAGUUUGAUCCUGGCUCAGGACGAACGCUGGCGGCGUGCUUAACACAUGCAAGUCGAACGAUGAACUGGAGCUUGCUCCAGGGAUUAGUGGCGAACGGGUGAGUAACACGUGAGUAACCUGCCCUUGACUCUGGGAUAAGCGCUAGAAAUGGCGUCUAAUACCGGAUACGAGCUUCAGCCGCAUGGCUAGGAGUUGGAAAGAAUUUUGGUCAAGGAUGGACUCGCGGCCUAUCAGCUAGUUGGUGAGGUAAUGGCUCACCAAGGCGACGACGGGUAGCCGGCCUGAGAGGGUGACCGGCCACACUGGGACUGAGACACGGCCCAGACUCCUACGGGAGGCAGCAGUGGGGAAUAUUGCACAAUGGGCGAAAGCCUGAUGCAGCAACGCCGCGUGAGGGAUGACGGCCUUCGGGUUGUAAACCUCUUUUAGUAGGGAAGAAGCGAAAGUGACGGUACCUGCAGAAAAAGCACCGGCUAACUACGUGCCAGCAGCCGCGGUAAUAC
rnacentral:rRNA from 1 species